rnacentral:rRNA from 1 species
GGUCCCAAGGUUAUGGCUGUGCGCCAUUUAAAGUGGUACGCGAGCUGGGUUUAGAACGUCGUGAGACAGUUCGGUCCCUAUCUGGUGUGGGCGUUGGAUGAUUGAUGGGAGCUGCUCCUAGUACGAGAGGACCGGAGUGGACGAACCUCUGGUGUUCGGGUUGUGACGCCAGUCGCAUUGCCCGGUAGCUAUGUUCGGACAGGAUAACCGCUGAAAGCAUCUAAGCGGGAAGCCCACCUCGAGAUGAGAUCUCGCGAAUCCUAGAGAUUCCUGAAGAGCCCUUGUAGACCACAAGGUUGAUAGGCUGGGUGUGGAAGUGCAGUAAUGCAUGGAGCUAACCAGUACUAAUUGCUCGUGCG